UUCUAAGGAUGAUGCUAGUCAGAUAAGCUUGCUUAUCUCGUGCAUCACUUAGCAACGGACAGCAAACAAAGCUGUCCAAACAUCAGGACCGGACCGUCCUCAUAUCUCUUCAGACAUAUCGGAUCCUGGCAUCUGCCGGGGUUCAGCAAGGGGCCUUAGCUCAGCUGGGAGAGCGCCUGAUUUGCAUUCAGGAGGUCAGGAGUUCGAUCCUCCUAGGCUCCACCACUUAUGCAAACGGCCCGCAACAAUACGGGUCGGUAGCUCAGGUGGUUAGAGCGCACGCCUGAUAAGCGUGAGGUCGGAGGUUCAAGUCCUCCUCGACCCACCACUCCCCGCGGGAGUGGCCGUAUCGGUUAGAUCUUCAAGCGGUUCGCUUAGAACUGUUUGAACGUCCAGCUGGACGACAAAAUUGACAUCGUUAAGAGAGAUACAAUCAACAAUACUGUUGGCCGCCCGAGUGUGGGAUAGGUCUCAGUCAGGUGCUGAUCAUCCUUCGGGAUGUGAGGCGAGCUUCAGAACACGUCAUGUUUCCUCAGACGUCCUGGAGUAUGCCUGGUUGAAAAGACAGUGUUGUCCAAGUCAAGUACACUAACCCGCGCGGUCGCAAGACUGCGCAACAAGUUCCCGGCCACCGACAUGGUUGGGAGCGGGAUAGUUUGCUUUUUGGUUCAGAAUAAAGGCGCCGGUUUCUUACCAGCUUCCGGUGCCGCGACGGUUUGCACUGUCUUUUUCUGG
rnacentral:tRNA from 1 species